rnacentral:rRNA from 1 species
CCUACGGGGUGCAGCAGUGAGGAAUAUUGGUCAAUGGACGAGAGUCUGAACCAGCCAAGUAGCGUGAAGGAUGACUGCCCUAUGGGUUGUAAACUUCUUUUAUAUGGGAAUAAAAUGUUCCACGUGUGGGAUUUUGUAUGUACCAUAUGAAUAAGGAUCGGCUAACUCCGUGCCAGCAGCCGCGGUAAUACGGAGGAUCCGAGCGUUAUCCGGAUUUAUUGGGUUUAAAGGGAGCGUAGGUGGAUUGUUAAGUCAGUUGUGAAAGUUUGCGGAUCAACCGUAAAAUUGCAGUUGAAACUGGCAGUCUUGAGUACAGUAGAGGUGGGCGGAAUUCGUGGUGUAGCGGUGAAAUGCUUAGAUAUCACGAAGAACUCCGAUUGCGAAGGCAGUUCACUGGACCGCAACUGACACUGAGGCUCGAAAGUGUGGGUAUCAAACAGGAUUAGAUACCCUUGUAGUC